AAAGAACUAUCUGGCACCAGAGCCCAGCCGACAAAGAGAUAAAGCAUAUUACUGUCAUUUUCUUUGACAGAUUGUUAACUCAAACGACAAGGAUGCAAAUCAGUAUAUUUUAGACUAGGCUGUAAAUAUAUAUAGAGGGAGUUCAAAGUGAUUUACCUUUCCAACAAUCAGUUAUCCACUCAUAAGAAACCUCAAUUCAUUAAUUCAAGUCCGCCAGAUGAACAGGGCUAAAGAAAGUGGAGUGGUUCGCCUCAAAUGAUUAAUUGAAAUGCCCUUCAGGCUACAUCCCAACCUGCAAAAGGAAACUAAACUUUACAUGAACAUACUGAAGAUUAAAAAAAAUGCACUAAUAACCAAAUCAGAUGGAGGCAGAAAAGAAUUAUAACAAAAGUAACAUGAUAUUUUUAUCAGUGAUUUUCAAACCUGCAGAUUAUGAUGAAGCACCUAUUUGUACUAACAAGUGAAAAAAAACUUUAAUUAACCCAGCUUUAGUAUUUCCAUGAUUUAGCAAACUUUCUGAGAUUUACUGGUCAUCAAACUGAAUAUACAACUAAAUGAUACCCCAAAUUACAGUUUUUUUAAAAAAUAAAUAAAAUUUUGAACAUAUUCAUUUGUAUUUAGGGUUUUAAAUCAGUGUCCUUAGAUGAUCCGAGCACUUACCAUGAUUUGCAAUGAUCCAGUGACCCAUUGCUCCCUUUCGACGUUCGAUUAACAAUGUCAAAUUCUCUAAACCCUCAUACUCAUUCAUCAUUUGAAAUGAUCCAGAGACCGACUGCUCCAUUUGGAGUUUCGAUUAAGGAUAUGAAUUAAAGUUUAAUUCGUAAAAUAGGAGCAGGGUCUCGAAAAUGAUC
rnacentral:lncRNA from 1 species